GACGGAGGGUGCAAGCGUUGUUCGGAUUGACUGGGCGUAAAGGCGUGUAGGCGGUCGGCCAAGUCUGAUGUGAAAGCCCGAGGCUCAGCCUCGGAAGUGCGUCGGAAACUAGUCGGCUGGAGCGCGAUAGAGGAGGGUGGAAUUCCUGGUGUAGCGGUGAAAUGCGCAGAUAUCAGGAGGAACACCGGUGGCGAAGGCGGGUCUCUGGGCAGUAACUGACGCUGAGGAGCGAAAGCGUGGGGAGCGAACAGG
rnacentral:rRNA from 1 species